rnacentral:rRNA from 1 species
AUUGAACGCUGGCGGCAUGCCUAACACAUGCAAGUCGAGCGGAGCGGCGGGCGGGUGGGUAAUGCCUAGGAAUCUCCCUGGUAGUGGGGGAUAACUUCCGGAAACGGGCGCUAAUACCGCAUACUAUCAGAUGAACCUAGGUCGGAUUAGCUAGUUGGUGGGGUAAAGGCCUACCAAGGAGACGAUCCGUAACUGGUCUGAGAGGAUGAUCAGUCAAACUGGAACUGAGACACGGUCCAGACUCCUACGUGAGGCAGCAGUGGGGAAUAGUGGACAAUGGGCGAAAGCCUGAUCCAGCCAUGCCGCGUGUGUGAAGAAGGUCUUCGGAUUGUAAAGCACUUUAAGUUGGGAGGCGUUACCAACAGAAUAAGCACCGGCUAACUUCGUGCCAGCAGCCGCGGUAAUAC